GUAACCAAACACCCCAUUUCAACACAAAAAAAAAUUUAGAAGUGCAGAUUUUUUUUCUUCAUUCUUCAUUCUCUAACUUCUCUCUACUUUCUCUCUCAUUUUCCUUUACUUUCUUGGAGGCCAAACACCACACCUUUGCUCCACCCUUACACCACCACCUUGACCCACCAUCUCCACCACCUCCGGCCACCUUAUCUCGCCGGAAAAUGGGUCCGGUCGGCACUCCUUGAAUCCAUCCGAAAAUAACACAAUAGAAGCACAAACUCUAGAUUUUUCUUAAUCUUUUGAAGAAUCAAAGCAUGGGAUUUAUUUUCUUGAUGGAUUAGAGGCUUGUACUUGAUUCAUAGACUUUUGUGUGGCUCGCCUCAACUUGGAAGACUAGAAUUUUUUUGAAGGAUCACAGGUGGGCAUCUUGUGGUUGAGGUUUUGCUUAGGGUCAUUCUAGGAUGUAAGCUUACCCUUUUUUUUUUAUGAAGGAGGUUGAUUGUAAAAAUUGCUUAUGAAGUUGGAUGUAUUGAUGGAUUCGUGAUUAGUAUGUAUUAUAUUUUUUUUUGGGAGGAAAUGCUUGGGAACUA